rnacentral:rRNA from 1 species
GAUGAACGCUGGCGGCGUGCCUAAUACAUGCAAAUCGAGCGAACGGACGAGAAGCUUGCUUUUCUGAUGUUAGCGGCGGACGGGUGAGUAACACGUGGAUAACCUACCUAUAAGACUGGGAUAACUUCGGGAAACCGGAGCUAAUACCGGAUAAUAUUUUGAACCGCAUGGUUCAAAAGUGAAAGACGGUCUUGCUGUCACUUAUAGAUGGAUCCGCGCUGCAUUAGCUAGUUGGUAAGGUAACGGCUUACCAAGGCAACGAUGCAUAGCCGACCUGAGAGGGUGGUCGGCCACACUGGAACUGAGACACGGUCCUGACUCCUACGGGAGGCAGCAGUAGGGAAUCUUCCGCAAUGGGCGAAAGCCUGACGGAGCAACGCCGCGUGAGUGAUGAAGGUCUUCGGAUCGUAAAACUCUGUUAUUAGGGAAGAACAUAUGUGUAAGUAACUGUGCACAUCUUGACGGUACCUAAUCAGGAAGCCACGGCUAACUACGUG